rnacentral:rRNA from 1 species
UACGAAGGCAGCAGUGGGGAAUAUUGCACAAUGGGCGAAAGCCUGAUGCAGCUAUGCCGCGUGUAUGAAGAAGGCCUUAGGGUUGUAAAGUACUUUCAUCGGGAAGGAAAAACAAAACUAAUAAUUUUAUUUCUUGACGUUACCCGAAAAAGAAGCACCGGCUAACUCCGUGCCAGCAGCCGCGGUAAUACGGAGGGUGCUAGCGUUAAUCAGAAUUACUGGGCGUAAAGAGCACGUAGGUGGUUUUUUUAAGUCAGAUGUGAAAUCCCUGGGCUUAACCUAGGAACUGCAUUUUGAAACUGAAAUACUAGAGUAUCGUAGAGGGAGGUAGAAUUCUAGGUGUAGCGGUGAAAUGCGUAGAUAUCUGGAGGAAUACCUGUGGCGAAAGCGGCCUCCUAAACGAAUACUGACACUGAGGUGCGAAAGCGUGGGGAGCGAAACAGGGAUUAGAUACC